UUCAUUUUUUUCCAAAGUAUACUCCUUUUCAAAGUUUCCAAAACACUAUUUUUCAACCCUAAACCCUGAAUUUGAUAAUGUUAAUCAUUUGGAUGCUGUCAAUCGUUUGCUCCAUAAGAAUCCUACCCCACCACCCAUUGAAUUUGGCAAGAUUUUAGGUUCCAUUGUGAAGAUUAACCAUUACUCAUUGCUGCCAUUCCUGAUAUACUGUUUUGGAAUCUUUACAAAUACAAAGGUAGAAUACAUGUGAAAUCUGAUGGGGAUUAUGGAUAUAAGUUUGCAUGUUUAGGCCUAAAAGCAAGGUCCAUAAUAUUUAGGGGAAAAGGGUUAGUUAGUUAGAGAAGUAGAACAUUGUGAAUACUGAUUGUAAAAUGGGUUACAUGUUAAAUGAAAUCAUUUUGAUUCACAGUAUUUAUAAUUAUAAAAUAUGUAAGUGCUAUUCUUUUUAAAUACAUCUAUAGGGUUGAUUUGUUACGUUAGAUCAACCAAAACAUGUAGCUGUUAUGCUAGAACGUUUUGCAAUAGGAUUGAAUGGUUUACUUGAGUCAAAAUAACAUGCAUGGUGGAAUACCACAUUAAGAGCUAUGUAGUUUAACACAUGUCAGUAUCGACACAAUACCAACACAUGUGGUUACACUCAAUCAACUUCCAUUUUGUUCAAUUAUUACCAAUGUCUAUGUGUCAGUGUCGACUCUGGUGUCUAUUAAAGAAUAUGGUGACUUGAACACUGAUGUGUCCAAGAAGCUUAGGAAUACACCUUCAACUCAUGGAUCAAGAUGGAGAUGGAAGUCUAUGUUAAAUUCUGUCGCCAAGCAUUUUUCGCAGGUCUCAAUUAUCACUUGUAAGCAGAACAUUGUUCCAUGUCUUGUUCCUACAAGUUAUGAACAUGGUAAUGAUAUUGUAAAAAGAAAACUAAUUGCAUUUUUCUACUUAUUCUAAUAAGCUUGAAGUUAGAUACUUUUGCUUAUAUUUAAAGCUAGGAGGAG